rnacentral:rRNA from 1 species
AGGUAGAGAAUACCAAGGCGCUUGAGAGAACUCGGGUGAAGGAACUAGGCAAAAUGGUGCCGUAACUUCGGGAGAAGGCACGCUGAUAUGUAGGUGAAGUCCCUGCGGACGGAGCUGAAAUCAGUCGAAGAUACCAGCUGGCUGCAACUGUUUAUUAAAAACACAGCACUGUGCAAACACGAAAGUGGACGUAUACGGUGUGACGCCU